rnacentral:rRNA from 1 species
CCCGCAACGAGCGCAACCCUUAUCCUUUGUUGCCAGCGGUCCGGCCGGGAACUCAAAGGAGACUGCCAGUGAUAAACUGGAGGAAGGUGGGGAUGACGUCAAGUCAUCAUGGCCCUUACUAGUAGGGCUACACACGUGCUACAAUGGCGCAUACUAUGAGAAGCGACCUCGCGAGAGCAAGCUGACCUCAUAAAGUGCGUCGUAUCCGGAUUGGAGUCUGUAACUCGACUCCUUGAAUUCUGAAUCGCUGUAAUCUUAGAUCAGAAUGCUACGGUGAAUACUUU